CAUUCCCUGAAUGUCCCAAAGAACAGGAGAAAAUGAGAAAAAGAAAAUUCCUUCCCCAGACAAAAGUCUAAAGUUUCCACCAACACAGAUGGUCUGACUUAAGGAAAGUUUUUACAGCCGUCUCCUUAAAAAAAAAAAAAAGUAUUUAAGUUUUCCCUAUAUGGAGGAAAAAUAAAGAGGAAAACAGCUCAAGACGUAGACUGAGAUAUCAAGUGAGAGGCCAUUCAAGCACAGGACAAUAUUGAAACGAUCAGGGUUGAUAUGGUUUUAGGGGAGAACCCUGGAGCCGGAGAGUGUAAGUGACAGCCAGCUGGAAGUCCCCCAGUGUGACUUACACACACACUUCUAUUCACCCAAGAGCGAGCCCCCACUUAGAAACGACGGCAAAUGGCAGACGGAUCGGCAGUGACCUCCCCAACCGCAGCCCCCUCCGCUCGCCCUGGCCAUGAACAAGAUGUUCUGGUGGCUUUGGUUUGGGCUUAACUGAAGGGCCUCCACCUCUCGCUGCCUUGGCCUCCAUCUCUGGCAACCAAUGGACCUCUCCCCAUCCCCACUGCAUGCAUUCGAGCCUUUUCAGGACUCCUAACUAGUGGUUAUUCAGUCAUCAUUGAGGCAGGAAUCAGAUCCUUGCCUUAUAAUCAGAGCCAGCCACUUCUCAUGGGGCUCAGCAAGUUGAUUCAAUGCCAUAGGGAAAAUCUAUCAUUCUGGGGUUUGGUUUAGACCUCCGUCGUCUUGAUUUCGUUCUCCUUCCAUCUCAGGCCAUUACCCAAAACUCUUCGGGGCUCUGACGUAAAGCAGACCUCUGUCUGAACCCAACAUCUAUCAGUAUCUGUCUGGAAAACCUUGGGCAGGUUAUCACUUAGUGGUUUGUGUGGGUUUUGGUAUGGUUGUUUCAAUUGUUUUUUGGAAGGGGUCAGAAAUAGCCCACAUUCAGAGGGUUCCAUUUACCUGUGGAAAAAACAAUCUUGGCCACACAGACAAGUUCAAAACGGAGCGCUCAUAUGCCAGAAAAUGAGGAUACGGGUUGCAUUUCCGCAAUGGCAGCCACGGUCAGGGCUGAAUCAGUGUGGAUAUAAACAAGCAAGAUGCUGCUCUGGGCUUCCGGGCGUGCGGCCACCCCCACGCCCGUGUUCCAGCAAGUGUGGCCUCGUCUGUUGCUCAGAUCACCGUGCUUGCUUCCUGCCUCAGGAUCUUUGCUUGUGCCAUUUCUUCUGGCUUAGGGUCCUCCUCCUUCAGUCAGCAGUGUCACUCGAGAGUGUCAGGCAGUUUGCCAGGGGAUGCAUUGCUGACAAAGACUGAGACCUCACGGAGCUUCUGUCCUAUGGGUGUGUGAGAAGACUGAGGCAAAUAAUCCACUGAAAGGACAAUUUUGCCGUAAGUACCAAGAACGUAAUUAAACAUAGUCAUGGUAGAAAAAGUGACCAGAUACAAGGUCAAGGAACCCCUCUUUGAGGAGGAUAUUUUGGAGAAGAGAUAUUUUGAACUGAGCUGUAAAUGGUGCAGGUCAUGCCAAUAUUUAAGGAAGGAUCAUUUCAGACAGAAGGAAUAGUGAGAGCAAAAGCCAUACGAGGGAACUUACUCCCAAGACAGCUGCCAAUGAGUUCUUCCCUCCCUGUAAAUACACGCUCCUGCCACGAAAAAGUGUGACCUAUUUCUCCUGGGUCCUUGAAUCUGGGUCGGCUUUGGCAACUCUCUUGUCUCUUAGAAUGAGACAGAAGUGACAUUCUGGCAUUUCUGAGGCCAAGGCAUAAAAUGUCCUACAGGAUCCACCUGGACCUCUGGGACCCCUCUCAUGGGAUGCUCCCCCUCGGACCCCAGGUGCCGUGUGACAAGAAUCCCAGAGGCCACACGAAGAGGCCCCAUUCAACACGCCCAGGUGAGCUCCUAGCCCACAGCCAGCAUCAACUGCCACUUACAUGAGGGGCCAACCUGGAGGUCCAGUCCAGUCCAGUCUCGUCCCGUCAACAACAGGUUGCAACUACAAGCAAAAACCCACCCAGCUGAGCCCAGGUGACCACAGAACUGGAGUAAGCAGUUGGAAAGUGCUGUGGAAACCACACCAUCCCAGGGUGAUUUGUUACACAGCAGGGAGGAACCCGAACACCCUAGGACUCUUCUCUGACUAUCUCCUGCCCAUUAAUCCUUAUUAAGUCCUUCUCAUAUUUCAACUCAAACCUAAUCCCACAGAGCAAACUUCUUCACAACCCUCACCCCAGAGGCUCAGACACCCUCCUGUGUAUUUUCACAGCAACAGAAGCUUCUCCUUCACAGCACUUGCAUCGAGCUACACUUUGUAUUUCUCUUUUUAUAUAAUUCAAUGAAUUUUAUUAUACUUAUAGUUGUACAACCAUCACCACAACCUACUUUUA
rnacentral:lncRNA from 1 species